rnacentral:misc_RNA from 1 species
AACUCCCGCCUCCGAGCCACUUGAAACAGCGUGGACCCCACGCCCGCACGCGCCGAAUUCCUUGCCGCCGCGUGUCCACUGCGCGCGCGUGCCUCGCGCAAUCUCCCGCGCUUGCCCGCGCAUGGUGCCAAUGCCGUGGGCCGUCGUCUUGUCUUGGGCCUGCUCGGCCUGGCCUCCCUGCCUGCUGAUCCAUCCAUCAUCUUGAGCCACGAGGAAGGGCUGGAUUGGCUUGGCCUCCCUGCCAACCAAUCACAGCUCACAUGCA